CGUAGGGCGCAAGCGUUAUCCGGAAUUAUUGGGCGUAAAGAGCUCGUAGGCGGUUUGUCGCGUCUGCCGUGAAAGUCCGGGGCUCAACUCCGGAUCUGCGGUGGGUACGGGCAGACUAGAGUGAUGUAGGGGAGACUGGAAUUCCUGGUGUAGCGGUGAAAUGCGCAGAUAUCAGGAGGAACACCGAUGGCGAAGGCAGGUCUCUGGGCAUUAACUGACGCUGAGGAGCGAAAGCAUGGGGAGCGAACAGGA
rnacentral:rRNA from 1 species